rnacentral:rRNA from 1 species
UACGUAGGUGGCAAGCGUUGUCCGGAUUUAUUGGGUUUAAAGGGUGCGUAGGCGGCUCAUUAAGUCAGUUGUGAAAUACGGCAGCUUAACUGUCGAGGUGCAGCUGAUACUGGUGAGCUAGAGUACUGAUGAGGUAGGCGGAAUGGACGGUGUAGCGGUGAAAUGCUUAGAGAUCGUCCAGAGCACCGAUAGCGAAGGCAGCUUACUAAGGAGUAACUGACGCUGAGGCACGAAAGCGUGGGGAGCAAACAGG